UUGACCGCAGUCAAAAAGAGACACGCUUACGAAGCACAGAUGGGAAUCGAGCAGCCGCGAGAGAAUUCAAGAUCAACGAAUCCAUGGUUCGAAAGUGGAGGAAGCAGGAAAACGAGCUUCGCCAAGUCAAGAAGACGAAACGGAGUUUCCGCGGAAAAAGAAGAAAAACAAAAUGCGGAAACAAGGCAAAGUGGCCCGAGUUGGAAGACCAACUCGAGCAAUGGAUUAAUGAACUCCAACCGCUGGACAUCGGUGUAAACAGGGCGUUCACAGUGAAGUUGCGAGCGGCGUGGGAGCGAUGGAUGACAGAUGGCGAACACAGCUUUACUAAGACGAGGAGGCAGCGCCGGGCGAGUUACGCCACAAUAUGUGAAUGGAUUGCGGAUGCUUGGGCUAACGUCUGUUUGCACUGUUGUUCGAGCUUUUGUAAAAGCCGGCAUCAUUUCUGAGGAGCCGCACGGCAACGAGACUGACUCGAACCUAGCGUGUUUGAUUGAGAACUUGCCCAGCUGUUCAUUUCGGAUACCGAACAUGAGGACUUUGAUGGAUUUGUGGAUGAGGAUUGAUCAAAAUAAAAUGUGAGGGUAUGGUGCCAGAAAAGAAUUAGGGGAAGCUACCUGCGUAGGAGAGAAGAACACGAGGGCCACGGAAGAAGGAAGAUCAAGGCUCCCUUCUAAGAUGCUACAAAAAGGAAAAUCAGAAAAAAGAAGAAUACAAAUAAAUGGAAGAUCUGACGGGGUAAGAGAUCAACAUCAUGUGGACUACAUCAAGUUAUCCUCCAGUCAAUCACAAG